GAAAAUGAAUUCGACAGACUUCAAAUACAUAAAAUACAGGCAAUUAGGGAAAAAUAAAAUAUGCAAGGCAUAAGCAACAGUCACUGAAGCAUGAUGCUAGAAACUAAAAGAUCCCCACCACAAUGCUCUGAGAAAUGCAGGAAUAGUGUAGUCAGAUCUUCCAGGUCACAGACAUGAGCCUUUACUUGCCACAUCCUAUUAAUCAGUAUUACAAAUUGGUUUAACAUUCCUUUAAGUUUGUACACAACCCUCAAAACACAUGAUAGAUUUGCCAUCUGCAUGACACAGUGGGGAAGACAAAAAAAAAAAUCUGCCCACUCUACAGAGCUGGAUAAGAGGAUCCACGAAGCAGAUGAGAGAAGAGAGACGGCAGAGGAAACUGCCAGCCUCUGGGCUAUCUGAGUGGCUGCGAUGGCCAUCUUCAGAAGUGGAAUGUCACAGGCAGAGUGAAACAGCACAAAGAAGCAUUUCACACUGAGACUAAAAGGAGAUGUUGCUAUUUAACAUCUAAGAAAUAUGGAACACAGAAAAAAUGGGGGAAAUGUUUGGUGGGUGUCUGUAAGAAAAUAAAGUUCUGGGAUUAUUUAGCUUUGCCUUUCUUCCCAAACCUAGAUAGGUAGAUAGAUAGGUAGACAGAUGAGAGAGACAGAGACAGAGAGACAGAGAGAGGUUAGAGAUAUAUGGGCAGGGCUUGAAAGUUUGCAUCUCUAUGAUGCAUGGUAGUUUUAAAUUCAGUUUAAAAAUCAACUAUUGACAUAUUUUAAUGCAAAAAUGAUAGUAACAAGGCAUAUAACUUUGUCGCCAGAUGACAGACAGCCACAGAAACAAUUUAGAUAGGAUUUCAAUCUAUUUUGGCAACUCUACUUAAAGCAAAAAUUCAUUAUCCUGGGCCCAGACCUUUGUUAAAAAACCUGUUGUCCAUUGGUCACUGGUCUCCGCAGCAUGGACUAAGUGUUUAUCCACCCUCUACUAACAAAGAAAGAAGAGGAGAUGGCUCUGUAUAUCUCAGCCCUUCCAAAGCUGAUCUGGAAGUCCCACACAUUCUAUCCAUUUACUUCCUAUGCACAGAAUUCUGCCAAGUGUGGAGAUGCCUAUCUACAAGGGAGGCUAACAAAUGUCAUUCUUAGCCUAUAGGAGGCGCUCUCUAAUGACCUAAGAGGCUCUGCAUCUGGAAACAAUAAGGAAAAAACACUGAGAGACAACCUGUAGUCUCCCAUCAAUGAGGUAUUUUCCUAUUUGUGAUUCUAUGUUUCAAAUUCUAUAAAUUAUUUAUACGUUGCUUCAGCUUUACAGGAGUGCUUAAGUCUAACCUUUAUGCUCAAAUACUGGAAGCAGCAAUGUAAUAUCGCCACAAGCUUUGGCAUCACGGUGCUGAUAUUUAUUUCAGUGCUGAAGAAAGGGAAAGUUAAUUUUAAUUUCUUCUCACAAAAUUAUUUGCCUUAGCAUUCUAAAGCAACUCUGGUCUUCUUGCCAUGCCUAACAACUAGCUUUCAAACGACUACAUUAAAAACUCAAAUUGCAGAAUUAAAAAAUCAUUGACAUAUUCUCACAGCAUAUGGAACUAUACCACCUCAAAGAAUUCUUUUACAUUCUCACAGUCAAUUGUGCCCUUACUGCCAGGAAACUCUCAAAGUAGCAAGAUGUGCUCACUAUGGCAAGAUAUGCUCCUGAAUUCUGUUGCUUUGCUCUCAUAUUAGUUCACCGUGCUAUAUUUUAUCACUCAAACAUGCAAGUGGAUUAAAAAUAAUGUAAUUCACUAGCACAAAGUUCAUUACUGCUGAAUACAUGAGCAUUCUAGGGGUCGCUGCGCGAACUGUAGAACCCCAUAAACAAGAUCCAUAAAAGAUGAUCCUAUUUAAAAUUCAGUAAUGCAUACGCUGGUUCAUGCUCAUUCACAUAUAUUCAAAGCUACUUGGCUUCCGUCAUUGUUUUUUUAAAUGGUGGUAUUUUUCUACACUACUAUCUUUUUUUUUUUCAUAAUGAUGCUUUUUUGAUUCAUUGCAGGGGUCAUGUGUCAUGGCAUACAAGUGGCAUACAGAAGACAACGUGGGGAAAACAGCUCUGUCUUCCUACCUCAUAGAUCCUGGGGCCAAACUAAGGUGAUUAGGCUUGGAAGCAAGAUCUCUACCUGCAGAGUUAUCUCAUCAGCCCCUAUAGUAGCAUCUCAUCUGCACAUAAAAGUAUAUGUUAUCAUUCGCAACCAAGUUAACUUCCUAAUCUCUGAGUAGCUUAGGAAUAAAACCUUACUGACUAUUGUUCAUGGGUCUGAAGGUACUCUACUCACUAUUAGAAGAGAAAGGUAGCCACCAGCACAACAAUAAACCCUGUGAUCUACAAGUGAUGUGCCCUGUGACAUGCUGGUGCACUGGUGGCAUACAUGUUAUGGAUGUAACCACUCGUUCUCUGAUUGUAUUUAAAGCCCACUCUUCAAAAUAGAACCCAUGCCUGGCACUGCCCGGGUAGCCAAAAGCCUGAGACAAGAUAGGCCAUGAAUCUAGAGGAAAACAAAAUACCAAGUACUGCUAGAGGAAUAUAACAAUAUAAAAUGACUUCCAAGGACAAGCUGCUAUGCCCAUAGACCAUCAUCAGACAAGCUUCCCCUUGUAGUAAAUGGAAACUAAACCAGAAACUCACAACUGGACAAUGUGUGAAGAACGAGAGAUUUCUGGAACACUUAGUCAUAAAUAAGAUCUCUUCAUUAAAGCCCUCCCCUCAGAGCUCAGGGAACUAAUGCUGAAGAGAGACAGAAAUAUAGCAAGAACCAGAGGGGUCCUAUGACAUCAUGGAAAGAGUGCUUCAGAAACCCCAGCCCAACAGGGUUAAUGUGCACGUGAUCCCACAAAGACUGUGGCAGCAUGCACAGGGCUGGCACAAGUUCAAACCAGAUGGGGCCCCAGUGCGGAGGGGUGUUGAGGGGACGGGACUAGAUAUUCCAAGGCUAUCUCCAAUGACACCUGCCUGC
rnacentral:lncRNA from 1 species